GCUUACGGUCACACUACCCUGCGAACGCCCGAUCUCGUCUGAUCUCGGAAGCUAAGCAGGGUUUGGCCUGGUUAGUACUUGGAUGGGAGACCACCUGGGAAUACCAGGUGCUGUAAGCU
rnacentral:rRNA from 2 species